CAUGAUUGUCCACUAUCCAUGUUUACCGCACGGACAUAUGUUGCAGACGGACGCAGUGUUGAGCCAGAGGAAAAAUAACAGAGGAGCGUCUGCUACGAAUUCCGACUCAAUUCCUUGACCUGCCUGUGUCAUAAUGGACUUCAUAAUGAAUCAUUACAUGUGACUUGUUGGAAGCGGCAGCUCAUCAUCCAGGAGAUCCACCUCAAAGCCUCAUCUCCCACGGAUCCACUUGUGUCCUUUAGACGUGUGUUUGCGUGUGCGCGCGCAGGGUCGCCCACAGCUCGGCGGGUCCGUUGAAGGUGACACCUCGCGCCCCGUGCGGAGAUAAUGAAGGCUUUAACUUCACGAGCCGAGCCUAUCGGAUUGUGGCGGCGGCCCUCGGCGUGAGGGAACGGGUCGCCGCCCUCCAUUUCACGUGCGUCCGAGCGACGUGGAAGCUUUUUCCCGCCAAAAGGCCUCUUUAUCAUCAUCAUCUUCAUAACGAUCACUUAUGCCGGUGACACUUGUCUGGUUGUACAUCGGUGAGGUCUGGCGUGCUGUUUGCCAACUGUCAUGGCACCCGAAGAGACAAGAUGUCAGUGAGAGAAUCCAAACGUCAGCGCCCCUUCUCCUCCGCUCACCUUUUCCUCCCCCUUUCAUUGGCCAGGUUUCCUUUCCAUAAUAAAAGGAACCUGUGG